GACGAACGCUGGCGGCGUGCUUAACACAUGCAAGUCGAACAGUGGCGAACGGGUGAGUAACACGUGAGUAACCUGCCCUCCACUUUGGGAUAACUCCGAGAAAUAGGGGCUAAUACUGGAUAGUGGGGGCUGGGGUGGCGGCCUAUCAGUUUGUUGGUGGGGUAGUGGGGACCAUCGCGCGACGGGUAGCCGGCCUGAGAGGGCGACAGGCAACAAGAGGCCUGAGACACGGCCCAGAGUCCUACGGGAGGCAGCAGGGGGGAAUAUUGCACAAUGGGCGAAAGCCUGAUGCAGCGACGCCGCGUGGGGAAUGACGGCCUUCGGGUUGUAAACCUCUUUCAGCAAGGAAGCGGUACUUGCAGAAGAAGCGCCGGCUAACUACGUGCCAGCAGCCGCGGUAAUUC
rnacentral:rRNA from 1 species